AGCGCAGGCGGUUUCUUAAGUCUGAUGUGAAAGCCUUCGGCUCAACCGAAGAAGUGCAUCGGAAACUGGGAGACUUGAGUGCAGAAGAGGACAGUGGAACUCCAUGUGUAGCGGUGAAAUGCGUAGAUAUAUGGAAGAACACCAGUGGCGAAGGCGGCUGUCUGGUCUGUAACUGACGCUGAGGCUCGAAAGUAUGGUAGCAAACA
rnacentral:rRNA from 1 species